CAUAGGUUAAUGAGGCGAACCGGGGGAACUGAAACAUCUAAGUACCCCGAGGAAAAGAAAUCAACCGAGAUUCCCCCAGUAGCGGCGAGCGAACGGGGAGGAGCCCAGAGCCUGAAUCAGUGUGUGUGUUAGUGGAAGCGUCUGGAAAGGCGCGCGAUACAGGGUGACAGCCCCGUACACAAAAAUGCACAUGCUGUGAGCUCGAUGAGUAGGGCGGGACACGUGGUAUCCUGUCUGAAUAUGGGGGGACCAUCCUCCAAGGCUAAAUACUCCUGACUGACCGAUAGUGAACCAGUACCGUGAGGGAAAGGCGAAAAGAACCCCGGCGAGGGGAGUGAAAAAGAACCUGAAACCGUGUACGUACAAGCAGUGGGAGCACGCUUAGGCGUGUGACUGCGUACCUUUUGUAUAAUGGGUCAGCGACUUAUAUUCUGUAGCAAGGUUAACCGAAUAGGGGAGCCGAAGGGAAACCGAGUCUUAACUGGGCGUUAAGUUGCAGGGUAUAGACCCGAAACCCGGUGAUCUAGCCAUGGGCAGGUUGAAGGUUGGGUAACACUAACUGGAGGACCGAACCGACUAAUGUUGAAAAAUUAGCGGAUGACUUGUGGCUGGGGGUGAAAGGCCAAUCAAACCGGGAGAUAGCUGGUUCUCCCCGAAAGCUAUUUAGGUAGCGCCUCGUGAAUUCAUCUCCGGGGGUAGAGCACUGUUUCGGCAAGGGGGUCAUCCCGACUUACCAACCCGAUGCAAACUGCGAAUACCGGAGAAUGUUAUCACGGGAGACACACGGCGGGUGCUAACGUCCGUCGUGAAGAGGGAAACAACCCAGACCGCCAGCUAAGGUCCCAAAGUCAUGGUUAAGUGGGAAACGAUGUGGGAAGGCCCAGACAGCCAGGAUGUUGGCUUAGAAGCAGCCAUCAUUUAAAGAAAGCGUAAUAGCUCACUGGUCGAGUCGGCCUGCGCGGAAGAUGUAACGGGGCUAAACCAUGCACCGAAGCUGCGGCAGCGACGCUUAUGCGUUGUUGGGUA
rnacentral:rRNA from 1 species